rnacentral:rRNA from 1 species
GUGGGGAAUCUUAGACAAUGGGCGCAAGCCUGAUCUAGCCAUGCCGCGUGAGCGAUGAAGGCCUUAGGGUUGUAAAGCUCUUUCGUGGGGGAAGAUAAUGACUGUACCCCAAGAAGAAGCCCCGGCUAACUCCGUGCCAGCAGCCGCGGUAAUACGGCGGGGGCUAGCGUUGUUCGGAAUUACUGGGCGUAAAGCGCACGUAGGCGGACUGGAAAGUCAGGGGUGAAAUCCCGGGGCUCAACCCCGGAACUGCCUUUGAAACUCCCAGUCUUGAGUUCGAGAGAGGUGAGUGGAAUUCCGAGUGUAGAGGUGAAAUUCGUAGAUAUUCGGAGGAACACCAGUGGCGAAGGCGGCUCACUGGCUCGAUACUGACGCUGAGGUGCGAAAGCGUGGGGAGCAAACAGGAUUAGAUACCCGAGUAGUCC